UCUGUAAAUUUCUUGAUCGCGUAAGAUCUGCCUUCGAUGACGGCCUUGUACCAAGUAAAGGCUUCUGGUAUAUCAUGGAGAUAAAACUUGGGGUCGAAGUGAUCUGUGGCCUUGGAGAUUUGAUCGGAAACUUGUACCAAGUAAAGGCUUCUGGUAUAUCAUGGAGAUAAAACUUGGGGUCGAAGUGAUCUGUGGCCUUGGAGAUUUGAUCGGAAGAGAAGAUUCGGAUAGGGUUUGAUACACCGUUACAGUCUGCAAUGAGUUGCUGAAGAAAGAUGCUUCCAUUUUCG
rnacentral:lncRNA from 1 species